CCCUGGUUAGCUCAGUUGGUAGAGCGCUCCACUUGUAAUGGAGAGGUACCCGGGUUCGAUACCCGGACCAGGCG
rnacentral:tRNA from 2 species